AGAAACGCUUAUUUUUGUUCUUGCUCUGAGAUCACUCCUUAUUGUUAAUUAAAUAAAUCAAACUGGUGGAGAAAAUAGCAAAUGCUUAGCAAAAGUAUAUUUCAUCAAACUGUCUGAUCCUGGGGAUUCCAAGUCUUUAUUCUACAAGGAAAACUAUUCUGUUGGAUUUAUAUAUAUAUAUAUAUUUAUGUACAUACACACGCAUACAAAUGUCAUAGGUAUGUGUACAAGUAUAUGCGAUGGCUAAUAUCAAGUCUCUCUCUCUUUGCUGCUGGAGGUGAUCAUGUUUCUUCUUUCCAGACCUAAAGACUGUCUCUUUCAUAGGUAACAAAGACAAAAAGUCCCAGAGACCCAUUGAUUUCAUUCCCCUUGGGAAACUUAAGUUUUGUCUGCAAGUGGGGCAAACACUUCACUAGCAAGGGAGAGGAAAUAAGAUCAUGUUCCCAUCUGCUUCACUUGGUGCCUCAGUAGCAAAACUUCUCUGCAAUCUCUAAGAAGGCUGACGCAGCUGGCAAACACUGAAAAAAAAAAAAAAAAAAAAAGAUAAUCCUAGAUUUCCAGGCAACCAGGGGAAUCCUGCAAACAACCCUGAAUGUACCAUAGAAUCAUAGAAUCAUUAAGGUUGAAAAAGACCACUAAGAUCAUCUAAUUCAACCAUCAACUCAUCUCCACCAUCCCUACUAAACCGUGUCCCUCGGUGCCACAUCUGCCCUUUUCCUGAACACCUCCAGGGACAGUGACACCACCACCUCCCUGGGCAGCCUGUUCCAGUGCAUUACCACAUUUCCUCAGAAGAAAUUUUUCCUAACUUCCAGCCUGAACCUCCCCUAGCGCAACUUCAAGCCAUUACCAUCUUCUGGUAUAUUUUGUGGAGCAAGACCUAGUGCCAGGUGGAUCCCUGCUGCCUUUCAAAUGUAAGGGCUGCGGUUUCAUGAAGCAGAUGAAAAUUUGCUUUUUAUUCACCCUUUGAUCAAGACCAACUUCCAGCAGCAGCCAGUGGGCUCUGCCGGCUUCCGUUUUGGAUCUGCCCCAUUCUGGGUACUGGUUUCUGGAGUAACCAUCCAUGCACGCUUUAAGGCAUGUUUUUGUUUCUCAUCUAUCUAUUCACUUAACAAAUUAGUUCAGUCUAGUCUCAUGCAAAUUGGAGGUUCGAUUUCCUUGUAUACUUUGAAAUUCUUCCUCUGCUUUUACCAGCCAAUGUGCAGCUCCUGUUGUUUUCCUGCUAGGAUGGGUUUUCAUUGCUCGCUGCAGGCUGUAGAAGUUAAUACAUGUGAAUACAAUCCAAGUAAGCUGAGUAUAUGUUUUACUAUAUACAGAGAGUAAAACAUGGGGACAACAGUACAGAGAGAGGAAGGGGGGAGAGAGAAAAGAGUCAGAUUUGUUUCCUUUCUGAUAACGUGAAGUAAAAAUAGAAAGAAAAAAAAAUUCUGGUCAACUCAGAGGAAAGAGUGCAACUAGUUACUGCACAAAGCCCAAAUGCAAAAUGUCAGCUUCCUCCUAGAUGUUGAGGGAGAGAGGUGUAAGGUUUCUUCUCACGUGUGAGGACAGAGGAUGGAGAAGACAUCAUUUUGGCAGCACCUAGAGAUGCCACAAAGCCUAUGGGUCAGUUUACAGG
ensembl:lncRNA